ACGCUUUUGUUAUUUUGCUUCUAUAUUUAGGGGUAGCAAUGGGUACCUCGAUUUUUCGAAAGUCUAGCGAAAAAUUCACUCGGAAUCUCGGCGUUUUUUACGAAAGUCUCGAAGUCUCGUUUAAUGGGUUUAAUUUUAAGUGUCUCGGAGCCUUUUUUUCUACCAAAGUCUCGGUUAAACGCAUUCUCGGAGUAGCUGUUUUGUUAAACGCGAUCUGUUUUAUGUUGUUACCAUGAUACGGGUUUCUCCUUUUUGUUUUGAGUAACGGGUCUUUCGCCAUUUCGCUCUAAACAGAAACUUUAGCUAAAGCAAGAUUGAACAAAAAGGGAUUUUUUUAUGCCUUUGCAGUAUCUCCACGGGACGUUUAUUGUCGGAUUUGGCUACAAAUGAAGUCUGACUUAUGGAUUAAUGACAUACCAGACGAUCUAGCUUAUGCUUUAUAGUUUUGUCUACAAAUAGCACGUCUAUUGUGAACCAAAAGUAGACUUUCGGCCGUGGGGGAUGCGUUCGAACCCCCUGCACCCCCCUGGGUACGGGCCUGUCUUAUAUAUACGAGGCUUUCUCCUUUUAUCUUUUUACUCGAGACCCUUUCUUAAUUCAGCCAGAUCCACCGCUUCCGUAUUCCAUUUAUCAUAUUGCCCAAACAGCCUAUUGUCAGUAACUAAGGGACGUGUUUAGCGGAGGAGUUUAUAUUAGAGUGAAAAACAUAUUAUAUUUUGUCCGACGUUUUUAAUGGCCGGGGAAAUAUCAUGGGUCGAUUGGACUCGCAUAGUAUAGAUAUGAUAAGAAAUGCAAAAGUCGGUUUGUCAGUCAGCCGACCAUUAAUAUCCAUUACUUGAGUAUUUGCUCUACGUACAUCAGAAACCAUACCAUUUCACAUAAUUACCAAAAUUAAUAAGCUAUAAACGCAGAAUUGCUUAACAAAAUACAGGGCUUUGGUUUGCAAUAUUCAACGAAUUUGACUGCAAUUAUCUAAAACUUGUAAACAAGUAAACGGAAAUUAGCUUAAAUAGUGGUAGGGCCAUAACAUUCACCAACCGGGUCAGCUUAAUGACAGUGAUUAAUUGAUCCUGGUUUGACAAAACGGAGUCUAGACGAGAGGCAAUCGUACACGCUGAUUGGCUCCUAGCUUGACCAUAAUGUCUCUUGGUCAAACGGCGUUGAUGCUAAUAGAUUUUUUACGAUUGCGUGAGGUGCAGGCCGAGGCCAAACGCUCGAUUUCACUAGUUGCUUCAUUCAACAUGGCCACCGCGCUAAACUUCUAGCUCCCCUCAACGAAACAUGCCAUGUGAGACGACUAUUGAAGGACAUCGUCGUCGUCUUACACUGGAUCCGCAACUAGAUUGGCCCCCAAGGACGUAAUAUUUUAGUAAGAUCGAAUAAUGGUUUGGCCGUGUCUUACAAAUCUCGAAUGACAAUGGUUUGGCGUUUUAUGUUUAUCAUUUGGCGACACGUCUCAUGAUCGCGAUAAGGUGAGCCCCUACCCUCUUAAAGGCCUCUGUCAUCCGCCAUUUGUCGCGCUAGCGAAGUGUGAAGAAGCAUCAAUUUCCAUUGGCUGAUUUGUGAAAGCUGUUGCGAGAAUUUGAGAAACUCUGUUUUUAUAAGGUUAUCUUAAAAUAUUGAAUAAAAACAGCUACAUGGGUAUGGUUCGUUGACAUGAACAAGUCUCGCUUUCUAUUUAGUGCUUAGUUAUUUGAGUGUCAGAUGUAUGGCGGAUUCCUAGAUCUUUAGAUAAUGUAAUUGACCCAUUAUGCAUUUCUCAUCAUCUUUCGUGUUGUUUUUUUUAAAGAAAUGCUGUUUACCUGUCUAAGUUCAUUGAUUCACAUCGAGCCAGUAUCAAAGGAUUGCAUCUUUGGCAUAAAUUAUUUAUUUUUAUAAUACAAAAUACAGAAUGGGUGAGUUGCAUCUCGUUAUUUUCGUAAAAUUUCGAAACUCAGCAAUGAAAAGAUUUGUCAAAAGUUGACACCGAGUGUUAACUCUAUUACAUAGCUUCUGCAAAAUGCCUUCACCAAAAA